GAUGAACGCUGGCGGCGUGCCUAAUACAUGCAAGUCGAGCGAACAGAUGAGGAGCUUGCUCCUCUGACGUUAGCGGCGGACGGGUGAGUAACACGUGGAUAACCUACCUAUAAGACUGGGAUAACUUCGGGAAACCGGAGCUAAUACCGGAUAAUAUAUUGAACCGCAUGGUUCAAUAGUGAAAGACGGUUUUGCUGUCACUUAUAGAUGGAUCCGCGCCGCAUUAGCUAGUUGGUAAGGUAACGGCUUACCAAGGCAACGAUGCGUGGCCGACCUGAGAGGGUGACGGGCCACAGGGAAAAGGAACCAGGUCCCACCCCCAGAGGGGGGGAGAGAGUGGGAAUUUUCGCGAAAGGGGAAAAGCCCGGAGGGCGCAGCGCGGGGGGAGGGAGAAGGUUUUCGGAACAUAAAACCUUUUUAUUAGGGAAAAAAAAAUGGUUAAAUAAACUCUGCCCGUCUGGAGGUAACCUAACAAAAAACCCACGGAAAACUCGGGC
rnacentral:rRNA from 1 species